CCUACGUGAGGCUGCAGUGGGGGAUAUUGCACAAUGGGGGAAACCCUGACGCAGCGACGCCGCGUGAGUGAAGAAGUAUUUCGGUAUGUAAAGCUCUAUCAGCAGGGAAGAAAAAAGACGGUACCUGACUAAGAAGCCCCGGCUAACUACGUGCCAGCAGCCGCGGUAAUACGUAGGGGGCAAGCGUUAUCCGGAUUUACUGGGUGUAAAGGGAGCGUAGACGGCAAUGCAAAUCGGAAGUGAAAUACCCGUGGUCAACCUGGGAACUGCUUUGGAAACUGUAUGGCUAGAGUGCUGGAGAGGUGAGCGGAAUUCCUAGUGUAGCGGUGAAAUGCGUAGAUAUUAGGAGGAACACCAGUGGCGAAGGCGGCUUACUGGACAGUAACUGACGUUGAGGCUCGAAAGCGUGGGGAGCAAACAGGAUUAGAUACCCGAGUAGUC
rnacentral:rRNA from 1 species